AUAAUAUUGUCCAAGUUACUGACAUGACUAAUUUGAUGUCAUCUGAUGCUGCACAGACUUACUACACAUCGUCUGAUAAUUUUGUAGCUGCCAGAUGGAGGAUAAUAAACCCACAAGGCAUCUCUCCUAUAAGAUAUGAAUGUAGUGCCGGAUAUUCCAGUGAAAAUUCACCCAGUGGAAUAUAUGACACUGAUACAGAAAGGACAUGGUUUGAUGUUGGUGAAAAUACCGAAACUAUAAUAACUUUACCUACAGCUAAGGUUUUAGAUAAGUCUAUACCAUAUAGUGUAUUUGUGAGGGUAUGGUAUAAUACAAAUCAAUAUGCGAUAUAUAAGUCUCCCGGCAUUACAUCACUGACGUCUGCGCCUAGUGUCAGUCACAUAGCGACAGCUGCUAUAAAAGAAUUAGAAACUAUAUCAAGUGUUAAGGAUUUAGAUUACCAAACAUCAAGCAAUCAGAUUAUUGUUGGUUGGAAGAAUAAAUUUAGAGGAGGAAUUCAUGGAUUCGAUUAUUUUAAGUCUUAUAUAAGCACACAUCCACAAGGCCACAACGUUCAUCAGUCAUCUACAAGAGUAGCUGGAAAUACUAGUAUCUAUACAGCUACUAAUCUAAAUCUACAAGAUAAUAGAGAAUAUUAUAGUACUGUACUAGCUUAUAAUAAAGCAGGAUUACUGAGCUGGGCCAAUAGUGAUGG